CGUUAAAAAUCUCAACUAUUUCUACUAUUAAAAAUUGCCAUAGCUAACACAAGAACCAACGGUGACCUGUGGCAUGUCACAUGUACAUCGCGUAUAUAAAGAUCAAUUUUUAAUAGUAAAAAUGGAUGUAUUUUUAACA
rnacentral:pre_miRNA from 1 species